rnacentral:rRNA from 1 species
UAGAGUUUGAUCAUGGCUCAGGACAAACGCUGGCGGCGUGCCUAACACAUGCAAGUCAAGGAGAACGUCCCCUUCGGGGGAUUAUUAAACUGGCGUACGGGUGAGUAACGCGUAGGCAACCUGCCCUAGAGACCGGGACAACCCAUCGAAAGAGGGGCUAAUACCGGAUAGUGCAUCGGAUCCUCCGGGAUAUGUUGUUAAAGGGGCCUUAGGGUCCCGCUUUGGGAUGGGUCUGCGUCCGAUUAGUUUGUUGGUGAGGUAAAUGCUCACCAAGGCGAUGAUCGGUAGCUGGUCUGAGAGGAUGAUCAGCCACACUGGGAUUGAGAUACGGCCCAGACUCCUACGGGAGGCAGCAGUGGGGAAUCUUGCGCAAUGGGCGAAAGCCUGACGCAGCAACGCCGCGUGACCGAUGAAGCUCCUAGGAGUGUAAAGGUCUGUCAUGAGGGAAGAACAGUAUCUAUGUAAAUAGCAUGGAUAUUUGACGGUACCACAUAAGAAAGCACCGGCUAACUUCGUGCCAGCAGCCGCGGUAAUACGAGGGGUGCUAGCGUUGUCCGGAAUCACUGGGCGUAAAGGGCGCGUAGGCGUCUUGGCAAGCCUUGAUUGAAAUCCCCCGGCUCAACCGGGGAACUGGUCAGGGAACUGCCAAGAUAGAGUUUGGUAGGGGAGAGUGGAAUUCCUGGUGUAGCGGUGAUAUGCGUAGAUAUCAGGAGGAACACCUAAAGCGAAGGCAGCUCUCUGGGCCAAUACUGACGCUGAGGCGCGAAAGCGUGGGGAGC